rnacentral:rRNA from 1 species
GAUGAACGCUGGCGGCGUGCCUAAUACAUGCAAGUCGAGCGAACAGACGAGGAGCUUGCUCCUCUGGCGUUAGCGGCGGACGGGUGAGUAACACGUGGAUAACCUACCUAUAAGACUGGGAUAACUUCGGGAAACCGGAGCUAAUACCGGAUAACAUGUUGAACCGCAUGGUUUAACAGUGAAAGACGGUCUUGCUGUCACUUGUAGAUGGAUCCGCGCCGCAUUAGCUAGUUGGUAAGGUAACGGCUUACCAAGGCAACGAUGCGUAGCCGACCUGAGAGGGUGAUCGGCCACACUGGAACUGAGACACGGUCCAGACUCCUACGGGAGGCAGCAGUAGGGAAUCUUCCGCAAUGGGCGAAAGCCUGACGGAGCAACGCCGCGUGAGUGAAGAAGGUCUUCGGAUCGUAAAACUCUGUUAUUAGGGAAGAACAAAUGUGUAAGUAACUAUGCACGUCUUGACGGUACCUAAUCAGAAAGCCACGGCUAACUACGUG